rnacentral:rRNA from 1 species
UACGUAGGGCGCAAGCGUUGUCCGGAAUCACUGGGCGUAAAGCGCACGUAGGCGGAUUGUUAAGUCAGGGGUGAAAUCCUGGAGCUCAACUCCAGAACUGCCUUUGAUACUGGCGAUCUCGAGUCCGGGAGAGGUGAGUGGAGCUGCGAGUGUAGAGGUGAAAUUCGUAGAUAUUCGCAAGAACAACAGAGGCGAAGGCGGCUUUCUGGACUGCUACUGACACUGAGGCGCGAAAGCGUGGGGAGCAAACAGG